UACGUAGGGGGCAAGCGUUGUCCGGAAUCAUUGGGCGUAAAGCGCGUGUAGGCGGCUUGGUAAGUCUGCUCUGAAAGCCCGGGGCUCAACCCCGGGAGGCGGGUGGAUACUGUCAAGCUCGAGUCCGGAAGAGGAGGGUGGAAUUCCCGGUGUAGUGGUGAAAUGCGUAGAGAUCGGGAGGAACACCAGUGGCGAAGGCGGCCCUCUGGGCCGGGCCUGACGCUGAGACGCGAGGGCGUGGGGAGCGAACGGG
rnacentral:rRNA from 1 species